GGGCGCGUAGCUCAGUGGGAGAGCACUCGCCUUACAAGCGAGGGGUCGCAGGUUCGAAACCUGCCGCGCCCACCA
rnacentral:tRNA from 79 species